UACGUAGGUGGCAAGCGUUGUCCGGAUUUAUUGGGUUUAAAGGGUGCGUAGGCGGCUUUGUAAGUCAGUGGUGAAAUAUGGCAGCUUAACUGUCAAGGUGCCAUUGAUACUGCAGAGCUUGAGUACAGAUGAGGUAGGCGGAAUUGACGGUGUAGCGGUGAAAUGCUUAGAUAUCGUCAAGAACACCUAUAGCGAAGGCAGCUUACUAAGCUGUAACUGACGCUGAGGCACGAAAAGUGUGGGGAUCAAACAGG
rnacentral:rRNA from 1 species